rnacentral:rRNA from 1 species
AACGAACGCUGGCGGCAUGCCUAACACAUGCAAGUCGAACGAGACCUUCGGGUCUAGUGGCGCACGGGUGCGUAACACGUGGGAAUUUGCCUCGGGGUAUGGAAUAACUCAGGGAAACUUGAGCUAAUACCAUAUAAUGUCUUCGGACCAAAGAUUUAUCGCCCUGAGAUAAGCCCGCAUAGGAUUAGCUAGUUGGUGGGGUAAAGGCUCACCAAGGCGACGAUCCUUAGCUGGUCUGAGAGGAUGAUCAGCCACACUGGGACUGAGACACGGCCCAGACUCCUACGGGAGGCAGCAGUGGGGAAUUUUGGACAAUGGGCGCAAGCCUGAUCCAGCAAUGCCGCGUGCAGGAUGAAGGCCUUC